AACCAUAGAAACCUGCGGAGUACCUGCGGAAGGAUCAUUACAGAGUUGCAAAACUCCCUAAACCAUUGUGAACGUUACCUAAACCGUUGCUUCGGCGGGCGGCCCGGGUCCUUCCCGGCCCCCAUCGGCCCUCGCGGGCGCCCGCCGGAGGUAAACCAAACUAUUGCAUUGUAUGGCCUCUCUGAGUCUUCUGUACUGAAUAAGUCAAAACUUUCAACAACGGAUCUCAGAUCGGAAGAG
rnacentral:misc_RNA from 1 species